rnacentral:lncRNA from 1 species
GAACUUGUGAUAAAGUCCAUACGUUGCCUUCAUAAAGUUUUGUACUAUUUUCAUAACCUUCAAAUUCACAUGUACACAAAGUUAUUCAAGGAUUCAUACAAAAUGCCAGCUAGUUAAACAUAAAGUUCCAUUCACAUGAAUAUGGCAAGAAAAAACAUUCUCUGUUACAUACAAUAAUAAAGUUCUUCAGCAAUUUAUACAAAAAGACCGCUUUGUAGAAACAGAGUUCUUUGUAAAAAGAUAAAGUCCUUCAUCAAUUUUCAGCAAAGGACGAUCCAGACAUCCAAAAAGUUCUUGUACAAAUCUGCCCAAAAAAUAUCAAUCUAUGCUGAGAACUUGGAAAUAAAGCAUGUCUAUACACAGGGAUUUCGCCUGUCAGUGCAAACAAAUAAACUGCAGCUUAUUUUAUCUAUACAACGGGCAUCAGAGAACUGAGAGGAAGCCUUAACGCAGACAAAACUUAAUCCAGCUUGUAGUCAAAUCCCAACAAACAAUCAGAGGGCCUAAAUUGUGCUAGCCUUUUUGUGGACAUAAAUCCAUCAAGCUAGCCCACGCAAGUUCAUCACAGAGAACACAAGACCAAGAUUAAACGUGGUUCAUGUGCUACUAGAUCCAUCACGCAACAAACAAUUUUACAUUGCUGCAAUAAAAUCCUAAUCACCUUGAACUACAAAUCCAUUGGCAAGCAGGAAGAGGCAAUCCCAGCUCGUGAGCUUGAGGAGGAGGCACAAGACAGCCUGUUCAUCGCCGGAUCUGGUGGCAGGAGACGUCGACGCACGGGAGCCUUGGUGAGUACGGACCUGCCAGAUCCGCAGCAAGCUGGGUGACGGCGAGCAAGCCGGGGACACCGCGAGGCACGCCGUGGUAUGGAGGAGUUGAUCUGGCCGGAGGCCUCCAGAUCGGGAGGGCGGCCGGCCGUGGGGGAGGGGAGG